UACGUAGGGUGCGAGCGUUGUCCGGAAUUAUUGGGCGUAAAGGGCUCGUAGGCGGUUUGUCGCGUCGGGAGUGAAAUCAUCUGGCUUAACUGGGUGCUUGCUUUCGAUACGGGCAGACUAGAGGUAUGCAGGGGAGAACGGAAUUCCUGGUGUAGCGGUGAAACGCGCAGAUAUCAGGAGGAACACCGGUGGCGAAGGCGGUUCUCUGGGCAUGAUCUGACGCUGAGGAGCGAAAGUGUGGGGAGCGAACAGG
rnacentral:rRNA from 1 species